rnacentral:rRNA from 1 species
GCAGCGCCUCACAGAAGCUUGCUUCGUGGCGGGCUACCCUACUCCGGUAGGGUUUAGAGCCGUUGGACCUCUCGAAGAAGUCCGGUCCUGAACUCCACCCUUGAAUAAAUUACCUUUGUUGCUUUGGCAGGCCGCCUAGCGCCAGCGGCUUCGGCUGUUGAGUGCCUGCCAGAGGACCACAACUCUUGUUUUUAGUGAUGUCUGAGUACUAUAUAAUAGUUAAAACUUUCAACAACGGAUCUCUUGGUUCUGGCAUCGAUGAAGAACGCAGCGAAAUGCGAUAAGUAAUGUGAAUUGCAGAAUUCAGUGAAUCAUCGAAUCUUUGAACGCACAUUGCGCCCUCUGGUAUUCCGGGGGGCAUGCCUGUUCGAGCGUCAUUAUAACCACUCAAGCUCUCGCUUGGUAUUGGGGUUCGCGGUCUCGCGGCCCCUAAAAUCAGUGGCGGUGCCUGUCGGCUCUACGCGUAGUAAUACUCCUCGCGAUUGAGUCCGGUGGGUCUACUUGCCAACAACCCCCAAAUUUUUACAGGUUGACCUCGGAUCAGGUAGGGAUACCCGCUGAACUUAAGCAUAUCAAUAAGCGGAGGAAAAGAAACCAACAGGGAUUACCUCAGUAACGGCGAGUGAAGCGGUAACAGCUCAAAUUUGAAAGCUAGCUCUUUUAGGGUUCGCAUUGUAAUUUGUAGAAGAUGCUUCGGGUGUGGCCCCGGUCUAAGUUCCUUGGAACAGGACGUCAUAGAGGGUGAGAAUCCCGUAUGUGACUGGGUGCUUUCGCUCAUGUGAAGCUCUUUCGACGAGUCGAGUUGUUUGGGAAUGCAGCUCAAAAUGGGUGGUAAAUUUCAUCUAAAGCUAAAUAUUGG